ACAAGUUUUAUUCAUAAUAUCCUAUAGGCUUUAGAGUUUAGCAGUUCAACGAGUUUAUAUUUUAUUACCCUGAUGAUAUUUUUAUCAGCACCUCGGGCCUUUCAGAAUGCAGAAUUUUCAGAUAUGUAAUGCAAUAUAAAAACCGGCAUUUAUUCUCCAAAACCCCGUUCCCAACGACGUCUUCUUGUCAUGGUUGUAUGAAUUUGUGUCAUAGUGCUCUGCGCUUGAAGCUACCUUGAUUUUGAGAUCAGUUCCCGAAAAGACAUGACCUGGAACUGGUACUCGUAGCCCUUUCACAUAACCGAAUGCAAUAUGGAUGGCCACCAUGAAAUGAGUGAAUUAACCGCGGAUUUUCUCACGCUCCAAGCGCAAAAAUAUCUUCCGAAGUUUUUGAUUUCCUUGAGUACAUGGCCAUGGUUCACUAUAGGCUGUGCAAGUGCGAGUUUAGCGGUGAUCAUCGAUAAAUUUGCUUUCCGAGGUAUGCCAGGACCCAUAGAUGUGCGGCUUACAAUACCAACUACAAACAAAUACAUUUACUACACCGCAGGACUCAGAAUGCAUGUUUUCCAUAGUUUAGCACUGAUGGCAAUACCGCCCUUUCAUCCUCAUAUUAAUGGCGUAGGCAUGAUGUUCACGGCUGGAAUGGCAUUAUACUCUGGAUCGUGUUAUGCAUUUUGUUGGUCAAAUAAUGAGCGACUGAAAAAACUGCAACCUUUCGGGACGUACUGCUUUCUGGCCGGCUGGGCUAUACUGACGUUAUCCAGGUUUUUGUCUUUUUCGUAAUGUUCCUAACUGUAAGCUCUUGUGACGAUCGGGAAUCUUUCGAAUCAAGCACAAGUUGCCAUUACCAGCUGGUACAUAACGGAUUUUUGCGCGAUUAAAUUCAAAUCGAAAUGUGCAAGAUCCACUUGAAACAAACUGCUUUAAAUGGUAACAUUCGAAGUUCUGCAUUUUCACAUUUAGUAGCGCAAAAGCUGAUUAUAUUAAUCAAAUUUACAAGUGACGAUAAAAGCAAAAUGAAAGAGUAGAGCACAUUGUCAUCUGUGGAAAAGAACGAUUCACAUAGCAGUGUU